AACGUAGGAGACAAACGUUAUCCGGAGUUACUGGGCGUAAAGGGCGUGUAGGCGGUUAGUUAAGUCUGGCGUGAAAUCUCUCGGCUAAACCGGGAGAGGUCGUUGGAUACUGGCUGACUAGAGGACGGUAGAGGCGUGUGGAAUUCCGGGGGUAGUGGUGAAAUGCGUAGAGAUCCGGAGGAACACCAGUGGCGAAGGCGACACGCUGGGCCGUACCUGACGCUAAAGCGCGACAGCAUGGGGAGCAAACGGG
rnacentral:rRNA from 1 species